AUGCAACUUCUGUCGGAUACCCACUACUCCAUGUUUAUCCCGUCACUGUCGUGUAAGUCGCUCAGCCUCCCUCUCCGACUGUCCUCACGCGAUUCCGAUCGCGAGCCAGAGUCAUCUGCAGCGCCUCACACGACUCUCAACCGCGGAACGCCGUCACUGCUCGAAGCCACAAGCCACCAUCGAAGAUCCUCAAUCCCCCGAUCUUCCAUCACCGCCAUUAGAGCUUUGAUAAGAUACAAGGCUUUGUUGUUGAGAAACAUUGAGGAGAAAUGUUAA